GCGCUUGUAGCUCAGUGGAUAGAGCAUCAGAUUGCGGAUCUGAAGGUCGGAGGUUCGACCCCUCCCAAGCGCA
rnacentral:tRNA from 1 species